CAGAGGGAGCAGUGCUGGGGGGUGCAGUGGUGGCCGUGGAGACCAGCUUGACAAUAGGCUGCACGCUGGGGACUGUGGUGGUGACAGGAGAGGUAGUGGUGGAGCCUGAGCCGGGGGCUGAGGUGCUGAGGGACAGGACCUGGGCAGAAAAGAAAGGCAGUGCCCAUCACCUUGUGCCUCCCAUGCCCCAGAAACCUGGAGGUUGGGACACUUGCUUCCCCUCAGAUGUGUUCCUGUCCUUGGGUCUCAGUAGGCUACUGCAACUCAAGGCCUUGCCCAGGCUGGGCAGCUACAGCCCUGCAAGACAAUGGCACGUGACUGUCCCAUCUCCUGACUUUGGGCCAGAAUGGACUGGUGCUACUCGGGGGGGUCUCCCCAGGGUCCUCUGAGGCGACCAGGCCCCUCGGUGCUCCUCACCGUCCCUCACCCACGCACCUGCUGGGUGGAUGAGGCGCUGGAGGAUGACAUUACAAUAAACUUGGUCGGAGGAGGGGAGGGCUGAGGCGGGGCAGUAGCUCGCGCAGACACCAAUGUCUGGACGGGCAAUGCGAUGGAGCCAGGGACCUUCAGCAAGCCGGGGGUCCGAGGGCCAGGCUGAGGGGCCUGCGAGAGAGUCAGUGUGGGCCGGGGCUGCAGGGAGAAGAGGCAAGAGGAAACAACAUCUAAGAAGAAGAAGAACCUGAAGGGAGAGGCCCAGGCUCGCCUUGCUCUUCCUCAGUGCAGCAUCGUCACUAAGGGACUGAGACACUGAGACUGCUGACCCUGGGCCUGCGUGUGCGUGUGCCUGUGAGUGCCCAUCCCAGUGGGCACCACAGCCCUGUCCCACCCCCAGGUGCUCCUUCCCUUCCUCUUCGCUCUCCGCCCCGCUCAGCCGCUGACCUGCGUGAUGGUCAGAGUGGUCCUGUUGACCUGCUGAGCCUGCAGAGCGGCCUGGGCCCGGGCCUUGACCACGUGGGAGCAGAGGAGGGGCCCGAGGGACCCAAAUUCUGCCCGAUAGGCAUCCUGAUUGUCAGGCGGUGGGCGCAGCUUUGCCAGAACGGGGGCACAGUGCUUCUGCAGAAAGACGACAAAGAAAAGCCAGGUUGAAGGAGGGCUGGUACUCAGAAGAGCCGUGGGGAAGGGGUGAAAAGGAGAUACCAUCGUUGCAGUAUCCCUGAUGGAAGCCAGACUAUGCCAGGCUAUUUGGACACCUGGCUUCCUCUUAGGCUUCCAGAUCCUUUCUGGGACUCUCUGGCCCUGAUCUCAUCUACUUUACACAUGACCAUCUGGCUCUGGGGUGAGUCAGGAGAGGCCUGGCCUAGAUGUACUGACCUUUGCCAUCAGCUGGGGUGGCACCUUGACCUUUGCCUUUCAGAGGUCCGUCUUCCUCCUGGCCUGGCUUGGCUGACUUUAGGGGUUCUGUGGCCUCAGCCUUCUGCUGCUCUUUGGGAGCUGGUGGGAAAGCAGUCACAGUGGGAGCAGUGACAAGAACAGCAGGAAAUGUAAAAGAAAGAGGAGGGAAAGAGAGAGAAGGAGUAGGCACAGAGAAAGUUACCUGGGGGUGGAUUCUCGGGGAUAGCUGGCUGGCAGCCUUCAAUGCUCAGCCAAUGAGCUGUGAGGAAGGAAGGUGUCAAGUUAAAUUGCUGGACAUGGACACCAGGGAGUCACUCCACACUAACGAAGGUGUGUUUCCGUUCCUGCGCCCCUUCUUGCAACUCACCAGGGAUCUCACACUGAGGCUUUCUUCACUUGUGAGCUUCCUCACACCCACACGCAUCACUCCUUUCCCUCCUCCCUGCCACCCUGCUCUCCCCUCCCCCAACCUUUGAGGCAGACGUCCAGGGGCACCCGGGGCAGAGGGGUAUUGAUGAUGUCGCUCAGAUCAACCUCCUUCUCUUCGUAGAAGUAAAGCUCCCGUCCCCCACCAGAGGCAAAACGGAAAGGAAUGAACUCCUGAGCGUGGAAGCCAUAGAGUGGCUGUAUCAGGAGAGAGAGACGCUGGAGUGAGAAGGGAGCUGUAGAGGCCUGCCUGGAAGCACGUGCAGUAUCUGGGAGGAUGGCAUCUCACCACCCUGCUUCCAGAUCAGUCCUCCAGCCCCUUCCUGUCUCUCCCAGUCACCUCGACAUUCUUUAGCUUCAGUGCAUAGUCAAUGUCACUGGUGGUGAGCUUCUGCCGCUUCCCCAUGUGCAUGAACUUCAAGGCAUCCUGGGGUGGGUGGGAGAACAGACGUCAGCCCAAGACCCUGAGGAAGAAGGGGGCCCAGGCAACAUCCUGGACAACGCAGGGCCAGGUCACCUGUGCGAUCUCCUUGAUGCGGUAGCUGACUUCAUCUGUCAGCAGCUGGCAGGUCUCCUCCUGAAUCUGGGCGAUGCCCAUGGACUCAGCCACCACCUUCAUCGACUCUGAGGGCAGCACAGUAUUGCUGAGCUUCAGCUUCUUCUCCUCAGUCAUUCUGGAGUCUCUCUUCUCCUCCCCAGAAGGAUGAUGCCCCAGGGUGGACAGACGGAGACGCUGGCAGGAGGAUGGGGCAGGCAGAAGAAAUAAAAAGAAACAUGAGACCCAAACAAGAGGGACUGUCUACUUGAGAGAGGCCACAACAGAGGGAGGACAAUGGAGAUGGAAGGAG